AAAGCCCAAAUCAGACCCAGGCUCUUCAGACCUCCAACUCCUUUCAGCUUUUGACUGCAAUGCCUUGCCUCUGCUUUCUAAGGCUGGGACUACAGCAGCCUACUGCCUCCACCUCUACCUGCUGCUGGUGGAUCUGGAUGUCAGACUAUCAACUCCUCCAGCAUCGUGACUGCCUGCAUGCUGCCAUACAGCGUUCCUUUAGAAGAAUUGGUAUGGUCAUGGUGUCUCUUCACAGCCACAGGACACUGACUAAGACGCAAGCGAUCCCAGAGCGAUCUGACUGCAUGUCAGCAAGCACGUGAGGACGUCUCCCAGAUGUGCUGCUUACCUGCAGAGGACACUGUGAUUUGAAUACUCAAAGUCAAGAUAAACCGACCAGAACCGUUGCUCUGCCUGAAAGAAUAAGGUAUUCCAUUUGAUAACAGGGGCAUAGCUUUGUGAUAAUAAUGGGCUUUAGAAAUUAGUCUGUGGUUUUAAGUAAUUAGCAUAUAAAUUUUAGUUAUCAUUUGGUUCAUAACAAACAGACUCGCUAGGUGCCCUACUCAGUCAUUUAUCUAAAUGAAAAGUUCUGUUAAAUUGUAUUUGUGGGCAUUGAUCAAAACUAAUAGGAAAAGGAGAUUAAGAUGAAAAUCAUGGGAUUAAAUUUUUAAUUAGUUUGCCCCUGAACAGUUGACUCGCUGACUGAGAAGCUGCUUAUGCCUGCCUGGAAACAUGUGGCUCCCUCCCGCUGCCUGCCUGUGAACAGAAGUGUCUCACAAGGACUGAGCUUCCUGCUGUUGUCCUUCAGCUUACAGGGAAUGAAAGGAGAAGACAGCGGAUGGUGCUGCUGUACUGUACUCACUCAUCCUUGAGGUGCACUUGAGGACUGGGUGAGGGAGGGAGCUCCCCCUGGUGUUCAGGAGAGAGAGACUCAGAGAAGGUAAAUUUAUCUUUCUAUAAAUCUUCCUUAGCCUGAUGUCUAGCCAACUUCCUGCCUUCUACACACUCCUGAUCUGAACCUUUAUGAGUCUUCUGCCCCCUGUAACUACCCUUGCAAUCCUUUCCAAUUGAAAUGUAGACUUUAUUCCAGUCCCAGCCAGGAUUCCAAGUCUCCUCUAGUCUGUGACAGUUCUCAGAAUUUCCGUAAUGUCUAUAAUCUUGGCUUUGAGGCUGGCCAGUGAUUUGGGGUCUGUCCCUCAAACUGAGUGUCUGUGAUCUUAUCUCUUGGUUUGAACACCACACAGGUGCCACACUCUUUUGGCGUUCCAUGAUGAACUGUGUGACAUCAAUAUGGCUCCCUGGUUCUGUUAUGCAUGCACUGGCACAUGCAUGGAAGUCAAAGGACGACAGCUUAUGGGAGUC
rnacentral:sRNA from 1 species